AUAAUACAUAAAAAACAAGAAGAACAAUCCAAACAAUAAAUAUCUGAAAAGAACUGCUAACGCUAGGGGUGUAAAAAAUGUACAUUUGAUCAAAGGUUACAUUGUAAUGGCCAAGUUUCUUGCUAUAACCAAAAUCGGAAAGUCCAGUGACACUUGUUAGGAUUAAAAAAAUUAUUCUAAGGAUAGAUUAUAAAUGUUUUGUUAAAAUGAAAGAACAAUGACAAACAUGGGACCAGUAUAAGCGAAAUGUGCAAAGCAAUACUGAAAUGGACAAACCAAUGCGUUAACGUUUAACUUAGCUUGCCAUGCAUUUACUUCCACUGAUCACACUAUAUUUUUUCACGUUUGAAUAAGGGUGUGCUCAGGGACCAUGAAAACCCCCUGGAAACUCGACUAAAUUUACAUUAAUUUCGCUUCGUACUGUAUUUCAAAUUAAUCCCCAGAUUCCGUGUUCCUGUUGAAUUGAGAUGUACCACUGUUAAAACAUCAAGGACAGUUGGUGGUGCAAUCCAUUGCAACCUGGACCAAACCAGACCUUUAUAACACAGGCUUCAGUCGGAAGAAGUUGGCAGUUUGGCAAUGAAACGUUACAGAUAUUACGCAGGGAAAAAGCUACUCUUAAGCUGAGAAAUCACUGCAUCGUACGACGGUCGUCUGACGCUCCCUCUGAAUGUUCAACAACAUGACAGAGAUUGUUGGUGCUGACUGUUGGUGGCUACCUUUAAAGAUAAUUGGUUGUGACAUCAUGGCAUUGCAUUCUACAUAGAAUCGCAUCGGCUGACGACCGUCUGGUGCAGAGUACCUGGCUGUACACGGAUGCGCAUUCACAGACACAAUUUAGUAGAGAAUGUGUGCUAUUUUUUUUUCUUGUGUUAACCGGGUAUAAGGCAUAGUUCAGACAAGGUGGAUAAACCUGGCUCAACUCACCGGGUUUAUCCACGUGCCAGUCUGAACCAGGUGGCUUAUCUCAAGCCAGGCUGUGUUCCUAUAGUAACUAGGCCUGGUGCGCCACCGUGUUUAACUUUUCUAAGCUGGGCUUUAAUCGUUGCGGGGGGUCUUGCAUUGACUUCGGGUGAAGAAAUUACCAAUCAGCAUUCAAUUAUGUACGCUAUGAGUGAGCGUACGUUUCGGGAGCAAUGUUUUGAAACACGUUUCCUGGUUACGGUUCAUUAUUAUACAAAUUCUCGCAUGGCUAAACCCGCUAAUCUGAACGCCCGGCAAAGUUAAGCCGGGCUUAACGUUGAGCCGGGCUGAACUCAAGCCUGGCUUUCUCCAAGUCUGAACGUAGCCUUCGUCAACUUGACAUUAUUUAUUGAGAAAAUUAACAUUAGAUUGAUAAUUUGGCAGAACAGAGAAACAUGCAAAUUAUUGCUCUCUGGUAAUAUACAGAGUAUUAUGCUGCUGUACAUUGUGCACAAGCAACUUUAUACCACAACAUCCAACAAGGUACCAUUUUAUAAUCCUGCGUGGAGGGAGAAAACAGAGAUAAAGUGCCUUGCCAACAGACUACCAUAUAUUUUAGGAUUUACUUAGCAUUAUUUCAUAAAGAACAAAGCAUAAUUGUCCUGAAUUUAUGCUGUGUCAACCACUCCAACUCAAAUUAGCUGGAUUGAGGUUGGGCCACCAAGAGUUACAAGCUAAAGUAUAAGAUCACAGCGGUGACACCAGCAGGGACAGGGGGCAUCCCAUCCUUGUUGGAUCAAAAAUAAACAAAAAUAAUUUGCCUGUCCAAAUAACAUUAUUUUGAUUGCUAAUCCCUAAUAUUGUGGUCUAAAAGGAAAAUUUGGACCAUACUAAACAAUCAAAAAUCAAGAUCAUAUCUACUUGCUACUAAUUUGCAUGAUAAAAUAUACUUUUCAAAUAGAAAAAAAAAAAACCAAGAUUUAUAUUCAAUUAAUCAGAAAUCAACAUCAUACCAAAAAUAUAAAAAUAAUGAA
rnacentral:lncRNA from 1 species